UGAGUAGAGUGGCGCACGGGUGAGUAACACGUAGAUAAUCUGCCUUCAAGCCCGGAAUAACUAUUCGAAAGGAUAGCUAAUACCGGAUAAAGUCGGUUCACACAAGUGAAUUGAUGAAAGAUUGCCUCUUCUUGAAAGCAAUUGUUUGGAGAUGAGUCUGCGGACCAUUAGCUUGUUGGUGGGGUAAAGGCCUACCAAGGCUGCGAUGGUUAGCUGGUCUGAGAGGAUGAUCAGCCACACUGGAACUGGAACACGGUCCAGACUCCUACGGGAGGCAGCAGUGAGGAAUUUUGCGCAAUGGGGGAAACCCUGACGCAGCAACGCCGCGUGAGUGAAGAAGGCUCUUGGGUCGUAAAGCUCUGUCGACUGGGAAGAAGUUAGAAUUGUUUAAUAGAUGGUUCUAUUGACGGUACCAGUAGAGGAAGCGCCGGCUAACUCCGUGCCAGCAGCCGCGGUAACACGGGGGGCGCAAGCGUUAUUCGGAAUUAUUGGGCGUAAAGGGCGCGCAGGCGGUCUUGUCGGUCAGGUGUGAAAGCCCGGGGCUCAACCCUGGAAGUGCACUUGAAACAGCAAGACUUGAGUACGGGAGAGGAGAGAGGAAUUCCUGGUGUAGAGGUGAAAUUCGUAGAUAUCAGGAGGAACACCGAUGGCGAAGGCAUCUCUCUGGACCGAUACUGACGCUGAGGCGCGAAGGCGUGGGGAGCGAACGGGAUUAGAUACCCCGGUAGUCCACGCAGUAAACGUUGUACACUCGGUGUGCCGGAUAUUAAAAUCUGGUGUGCCCAAGCUAACGCAUUAAGUGUACCGCCUGGGGAGUACGGUCGCAAGACUAAAACUCAAAGGAAUUGACGGGGGCCCGCACAAGCGGUGGAGCAUGUGGUUUAAUUCGACGCAACGCGAAGAACCUUACCUGGAUUU
rnacentral:rRNA from 1 species